rnacentral:rRNA from 1 species
CUUUAGUGGCGAACGGGUGCGUAAUACGUGAGAAUCUGCCCUUAGGAGGAGAAUAACUUCUGGAAACGGUUGCUAAGUCUCCAUAUGCCGAGAGGUGAAAUAGUUUAUACUGCCUAGGGAUGAGCUCACGCCUGAUUAGCUUGUUGGUAAGGUAAUGGCUUACCAAGGCCACGAUCAGUAGCUGGUUUGAGAGAACGAUCAGCCACACUGGGACUGAGACACGGCCCAGACUCCUCCGGGAGGCAGCAGUGAGGAAUUUUCCGCAAUGGGCGAAAGCCUGACGGAGCAAUACCGCGUGAGGGAUGAAGGAUUUUGGUCUGUAAACCUCUUUUCUCAAGAAAGAAGUUCUGACGGUACCUGAGGAAUAAGCAUCGGCUAACUCCGUGCCAGCAGCCGCGGUAAUACGGGGGAUGCAAGCGUUAUCCGGAAUCAUUGGGCGUAAAGCGCCUGUAGGUUGUUUAAUAAAUCUGUUGUUAAAGACUAGGGCUUAACCCUAGGAAAGCAAUGG